rnacentral:rRNA from 1 species
GAUGAACGCUGGCGGCGUGCCUAAUACAUGCAAGUCGAGCGAACAGACGAGGAGCUUGCUCCUCUGACGUUAGCGGCGGACGGGUGAGUAACACGUGGAUAACCUACCUAUAAGACUGGGAUAACUUCGGGAAACCGGAGCUAAUACCGGAUAAUAUAUUGAACCGCAUGGUUCAAUAGUGAAAGACGGUUUUGCUGUCACUUAUAGAUGGAUCCGCGCCGCAUUAGCUAGUUGGUAAGGUAACGGCUUACCAAGGCAACGAUGCGUAGCCGACCUGAGAGGGUGAUCGGCAACACUGGAAAUGAGACACGGUCCAGACUCCUACGGGAGGCAGCAUGAGGGAAUCUUCCGCAAAGGGCGAAAGCCUGACGGAGCAACGCCGCGUGAGUGAUGAAGGUCUUCGGAUCGUAAAACUCUGUUAUUAGGGAAGAACAAAUGUGUAAGUAACUAUGCACGUCUUGACGGUACCUAAUCAGAAAGCCACGGCUAACUACGUG